UGAGGUCAGGAGUUGGAGACCAGCCUGGCCAACAUGAUGAAACCCUGUCUCUACUAAACAUACAAAACUUUAGCCAGGUGGUGUUGCAGGGUCCUGUAAUCCCAGCA